rnacentral:rRNA from 1 species
AGCUGACGGAGCACGCCGCGUGAGGGAUGGAGGCCUUUGGGCUGUAAACCUCUUUUCUCAAGGAAGAAGACCUGACGGUACUUGAGGAAUAAGCCACGGCUAAUUCCGUGCCAGCAGCCGCGGUAAUACGGGAGUGGCAAGCGUUAUCCGGAAUUAUUGGGCGUAAAGCGUCCGCAGGCGGCCGUUUAAGUCUGUUGUUAAAUCGUGGAGCUCAACUCCAUCACGGCAAUGGAAACUGUUCGGCUUGAGUAUGGUAGGGGCAGAGGGAAUUUCCGGUGUAGCGGUGAAAUGCGUAGAUAUCGGGAAGAACACCAGUGGCGAAAGCGCUCUGCUGGACCAUUACUGACGCUCAUGGACGAAAGCCAGGGGAGCGAAAGGGAUUAGAUACCCCUGUAGUCCUGGCCGUAAACGAUGAACACUAGAUGUUGGGGGAAUCGACCCCCUCGGUGUCGUAGCUAACGCGUUAAGUGUUCCGCCUGGGGAGUACGCACGCAAGUGUGAAACUCAA